GAUGAAGAACGUAGCGAAAUGCGAUAAGUAGUGUGAAUUGCAGAAUUCAGUGAAUCAUCGAAUCUUUGAACGCACAUUGCGCCCCUUGGUAUCCCGAGGGGCAUGCCUGUUCGAGCGUCAUUUCACCACUCAAGCCUGGCUUGGUGUUGGGCGACGUCCUCUUUGGGGACGCGCCUCGAAACGCUCGGCGGCGUGGCACCGGCUUUAAGCGUAGCAGAAUCUUUCGCUUUGGAAGUCGGGGCCCCGUCUGCCGGAAGACCUGCUAGCAAGGUUGACCUCGGAUCAGGCAGGGAUACCCGCUGAACUUAAGCAUAUCAAUAAGCGGAGGA
rnacentral:misc_RNA from 1 species